rnacentral:rRNA from 1 species
UACGAAGGGGGCUAGCGUUGUUCGGAAUUACUGGGCGUAAAGCGCGCGCAGGCGGUCCUUCAAGUCAGAGGUGAAAGCCCAGAGCUCAACUCUGGAAUGGCCUUUGAGACUAGAGGACUUGGGUACGGGAGAGGUGAGUGGAAUUCCGAGUGUAGAGGUGAAAUUCGUAGAUAUUCGGAAGAACACCAGUGGCGAAGGCGGCGACCUGGUCCUUGACUGACGCUGAGGCGCGAAAGCGUGGGGAGCAAACAGG